rnacentral:misc_RNA from 1 species
GAUGAAGAACGUAGCGAAAUGCGAUACGUAGUGUGAAUUGCAGAAUUCAGUGAAUCAUCGAAUCUUUGAACGCACAUUGCACCUCUCGGUAUUCCGGGAGGUAUGCCUGUUCGAGCGUCAUUUGUACCCUCAAGCUCUGCUUGGUGUUGGGUGUUUGUUCCGCCUCUGUGUGUGAACUCGCCUCAAAACAAUUGGCAGCCGGCGUACUUGUUUCGGAGCGCAGCACAUUUUGCGAUCCAGAUCAACGUACAGCGGCAUCCAAGAAGCCUUAUUUAACGCUCUUGACCUCGGAUCAGGUAGGGAUACCCGCUUAACUUAAGCAUAUCAAUAAGCGGAGGA